AACGAACGCUGGCGGCAUGCCUAACACAUGCAAGUCGAACGAGACCUUCGGGUCUAGUGGCGCACGGGUGCGUAACGCGUGGGAACCUGCCCUUAGGUUCGGAAUAACUCCCCGAAAGGGGUGCUAAUACCGGAUAAUGUCUUCGGACCAAAGAUUUAUCGCCUUUGGAUGGGCCCGCGUUGGAUUAGCUAGUUGGUAGGGUAAAAGCCUACCAAGGCGACGAUCCAUAGCUGGUCUGAGAGGAUGAUCAGCCACACUGGGACUGAGACACGGCCCAGACUCCUACGGGAAGCAGCAGUGGGGAAUAUUGGACGAUAGGCGAAAGCCUGAUACAGCAAUGCCGCGUGAGUGAUGAAGGCCUUAGGGUUGUAAAGCUCUUUUACCCGGGAUGAUAAUGACAGUACCGGGAGAAUAAGCUCCGGCUAACUCCGUG
rnacentral:rRNA from 1 species